CUUUUCCAUCAUUCAGUUGAACUGGGUUCCUUCUUUUCAAUAAUUUUCUAUAAAUCUUUCUUAUAAUUUUCAUUACAGUUCAAUGCUUUCAUUAAAUCAGAUGUGUUUUAACGAAAAAAUGCGGAUCUCAACUUAGUUGGAAUUGAAGCUUAGGAGCUGUUGUAAACUCCCCCAAGUGCGGAUGAUAAUGUGUCAAUCAAGCUGGCACCGUGUUUCACUCAAUGCGCAGAUUGUAGGAAGAUAACUUAUGUUAGAUUACUAUUGGUAUGAGAUUAUAAUUUAGUGAUCCUGGAUGCAUGAUGUUUUAAAUAAUUUUUAUGUAAGCUAACUUUUACCUUUUAGGAGUA